AAGAAAAGUUAUACUCUAGGGUCUACCAAAAUUAUUCCAUUCCCAGUUACUUUGAACCAGAGCAGAGUGAAUGUGAGAAUGGAUGUCACAACACGAGAAGAAGAAAAAGAAGAAAAAACUGGUUUAACUUGUUACGUAAAAGCUGUAAAAGCUCAGAGGUGUGGAACACUACAGUUCACAGGACGAAGAAGAAAGAUCUGCACACGUUUAUCUGAGGCAAAAGGUGGUGAAGGACGAUGGCGUCCGUUAAAGAGCUGCUUGUGGACUUACUGAAGGAUCUGAAAGAAGCUGAACCAAAGGAGUUUCAUUGGUGGUUAAAGAAUGGACAUCAUAAGCCUAUAUCAAAGUCUGAAAUGGAGAAGGCAGAUGUAUUAGACACAGUAGAUAAGAUGGUUAUGUGUUUUGGACCAGAAGACGCUGUGAAGGUCACGGUAGACAUCCUGAGAAAGAUGAACCAAAAUGAUCUGGCUAAACAGUUGCAGAAUGACCACAAGUAAGCUCAGACGGAGGACAAUAUGAAGACAUCUGUCCCUUUUAGAGAGAUGCAAAAUGUCUUGAAAACUCACAAAAACAACAUGAAGAUGAAGGUAAAAUACAUUUUUGAGGGCAACAAAGAAACUGACACAGAUCUGAAAGCUGUUUACACAGAUCUGUUCAUCACAGAGGGAGAUAUGAAAGAUGUAAAUCAGGAACAUGAGAUUCUGAAGAUUGAUGAUGCUUUCAAGAGCAAAAAACACUGAACAAAACAAUCAAAUGCAAUGAUAUAUUUACUGAACUGAGGAAAAACAAUGAGUUAAAGAUUGUGUUGACCAAAGGAGUCGCUGGCAUUGGAAAAACUGUGUCUGUGCACAAGUUCAUCCUGGACUGGGCCGAAGGAGAAUCUAAUCAGGAUAUAGACUGUGUGUUCCUGCUUCCAUUCAGAGAGAUCAAUGUGAUUAAAGAGAGAGAGGUCAGUCUCCAUGAGUUUCUGCUGAAAUUUAAUCCUGAAUUGAAGGACCUGGAGAAAUCAAAGUUAUAAACUUGUGUUUAUAUUUGAUGGACUUGAUGAGAGUGGACUGCCUUUGAAUUUUGAAAGUGAUACAUUGAACACUGUUGAGGAAAGAUCAUCUGUGGAUGUGCUGUUUACAAGUCUGGUCAAAGGUAAACUGCUUCCAUCAGCUCUGGUCUGGGUCACAUCACGACCAGCAGCAGCCAAUCAGAUCCCUCCUCAGUAUGUAGGUUUGUUCACAGAGGUGCGAGGAUUCACUGACCUACAGAAGGAGGAGUACUUCAGAAAGAGAUUCACAGAUGAGAGUCUGUCCUCCAGAAUCAUCUCACACAUUAAGACGUCUCAUAGUCUCUACAUCAUGUGCCACAUUCCUGUGUUCUGCUGGAUUUCAGCCACAGUACUUCAGGAUAUUUUCACUGAGAACAAUGAAGAGAACAUCAGCACAACACUCACUGAAAUGUACAUUCACUCCCUGCUGAUACAGAUGAACAUAAAAAAACAGAAAUACAAUGAACAAGAAGAAAGAGAAUGUUCAGAGCACUUACUUUUAAAUAGAAAGAUGAUUCUGAAGUUAGCCAAGCUAGCGUUUGAACAGCUGAAGCAGGGAAACAUUGUGUUCUAUGAGAAACAUCUGAAACCAUGUAGUAUUGAUGUGAGUAAAGAUGCUGAGUUCACAGGAAUGAUCGCUGAGAUCUUUAAGAAGGAAGUUGGACUUUAUUAGACAAAGGUCUUCUGCUUUGUGCAUCUGGGUGUUCAAGAGUUCCUCGCUGCAGUGCAUGUGUUCACCUGUUACCUGAAAAAAACAAGCAAGAGCUUACGUUUUUCUUUGAGGAUUCACAAACUACAGUCAUACAAAAUCUUACAUUUCCUUUUAGAAAGGUCAAAUUGCAUGACUUAACAGAGAGAGCAAUUGAAAAAGCAAUGCAGAGUAAGAGAGGGCAUCUGGACCUGUUCCUGCGGUUUCUGAUGGGAAUUUCACUGGAAUCCAGUCAAGUAUAAGUUUAAUAAGUUUAUUUAAAAACAUUUUACAGUCUUAGACGGGACAGGAUAUAUAGUCUAUACAGUACAAAUGUACCGUUUCUACGGAAUCUACCUUGAUGUAUGUGACUUUUUUUCUUUCAGACAAUUCCAAUCAAAUUCAAUUGUCCUAGUCCCUCCAAGUCUUUCCAUUGUAUUUAUCAUGUGGUAGCUUUUAACAGUUCAGAACACAUAACGUAUUAGUAAUGACUUCCCUCAAUUGGCUCUUGGGGGGUUGAACCACCCGCCCACUAAAAUUAUAGAGAUUAAAAAUGCCAGUUAAAUUUUUUGUCUAAAAAGGAAAAAAAUCCCAUACACCUAGGAUGCUUCAAAAGUAUGAAAAACAUCUAAUUUUCAUUUAGAAUUUUCAAGGGUGGACUAACCCUUUAAGCAUGUUCAACUACAGAGACAAUCAGUGAUGAACCCACCACUUGUAUAUAGUCUGUAUAUAAUAUGUAUAUAAUUAUCGUGUUAAACUUGUAUAGAUUUUCUACAUGUAAUCUCACUGCACAGUGUGCAAUAUCGCAGAAGAUAUAAUAUCAUAAUUGUUGUUUUAAUGAUGUGAGAUUUGAAAUGAUCUAGUAGUUUUGCAAAACACACCCUCAGAGUGUGAAGUCUAGACUAGUGAGUGUGCACAUUUAGAGUGAUUUUCUUUACUGCUUGAUUCUAUUUAAUAAAAUACAUUUAGAAUGAUCACAAAUUAAAGACAUGCAGGCAGACAAUUUCAUAUAGUUAAUUACCAUGAUGUAACAAUUUAGUUCACUGAAGAUGAGCAUAGUGAGAACUCAUGUGCAGUUUUAUUUACAGAGAUAUAAUCCAUAAUCUAAACAAACGAAUACUUGACUUGAAACACACUUGCCUGAAAAAUGAAUAGACUUGACUUGGAAUAGACUUGGCAUGAACAGGAUAGAUUCAUUGACAGCAGGUUCCCUGAUAACAAAUGCACAUCUCAGAGACGUCAAAUAGACGUCUGCAUUUAUAUCUUCAAGGCAUAGUUUUUUUGUGUAUUUGCUUAUCUGAGCCACUGGCCUCUGCUUCCUCAGUGGAACAUGCUGGAAGAAGAAAAUUGGUGAAAUUGAGGAGAUCCUUCUCCAGUAUUGAGGUAUUCCUUCCACCAUCCGACAAUAUUCCCAGUCGAAGUCAGCAGAUUUCCACCUUCACUUAAAUUUGGCAAUAUGGGAGUGCUUCCCACAAGCUGUUUAACUAUUUUAGAUUCACAAACUAGAAUAAAACAGUCCAGUGAUUUAUCAGUAAGAUUGGCGUUUUAGAAAAAAAAUAAUAAUAAUGUUUUUAUUAAUUAAAAAAUGUAUUAAAAUGUAGAACCAAUAAUGAAUAUGCAUUGUGAAUAGAUAAUAAUAGACAACUAAAUAUGAAGAAAGAUGGCAAAGAAUUUGUAGAAACAAAUAGAGUGAAGACAGAAUGUCUCUCCUAGGACCACAACCUUAAUGUGGUGGAGGGGUUUGAGUGCCUCAGUGGCCCUAGGAGCUAUGUUGGCCGGGGCUAUAUGGCCCUGGUAGGGUCUCCCAAAGC